rnacentral:miRNA from 1 species
AACUGUGGGGCCAGAGCAGAGAGCUCUGCACACCACCAGCCUCUCUUCCCCAUGCCCCAG